rnacentral:miRNA from 1 species
GUUUUGUUUGGGUUUGUUUCU